UGAACGCUGGCGGCGUGCCUAAUACAUGCAAGUCGAGCGAACAGAUGAGGAGCUUGCUCCUCUGACGUUAGCGGCGGACGGGUGAGUAACACGUGGAUAACCUACCUAUAAGACUGGGAUAACUUCGGGAAACCGGAGCUAAUACCGGAUAAUAUAUUGAACCGCAUGGUUCAAUAGUGAAAGACGGUUUUGCUGUCACUUAUAGAUGGAUCCGCGCCGCAUUAGCUAGUUGGUAAGGUAACGGCUUACCAAGGCAACGAUGCGUAGCCGACCUGAGAGGGUGAUCGGCCACACUGGAACUGAGACACGGUCCAGGCUCCUACGGGAGGCAGCAGUAGGGAAUCUUCCGCAAUGGGCGAAAGCCUGACGGAGCAACGCCGCGUGAGUGAUGAAGGUCUUCGGAUCGUAAAACUCUGUUAUUAGGGAAGAACAAAUGUGUAAGUAACUAUGCACGUCUUGACGGUACCUAAUCAGAAAGCCACGGCUAACUACGUG
rnacentral:rRNA from 1 species